rnacentral:siRNA from 1 species
GCCGAUCGAUUCGGGGCGUG